rnacentral:rRNA from 1 species
AUGGGCCUUGCAGCGAUCGAGCGUUGCAAGAAAAGGCAAGCCUCCCGCCUCACCUGGCUGCACACAGGCGACACCCCCACCAAGUUUUUCAUUGCCAAAAUCAGCUCAAGAAGGCGCCAGAACUUCAUCCAUGCUCGGAAGGUUGGAGAAAAUGUGGUGACGACACACGCAGAAAAGGAGAAAGCAAUGCACGAUCACUUCAACAACAUUGGGCACCCCCAACACCGGCCCACAUUGAUCAACUGGGAUCAACUUCAAAUGCCAUUGGUGCAAGGAAGUGGGCUGGACAACCCAUUUACAGAGGAGGAAGUAUGGGCUGCGAUCAAGGACUCACCAGCUCAAAAAUCGCCAGGUCCGGACGGCUUUUGUGGUGUGUUCUUCUAA